ensembl:lncRNA
GGCGCCUCGGUCCGCCCGAGACCGGGCGUCUUGCGCUGUGAUGUCCGCAGCUUGGGCGGCGGGGGCGGGGCAGGGGUCGGCGCCCGAGGCCACGCCAGGGUGACUCAUCUCCUCCGGCUGCGCGGCCCCUGGCCGCGAGUGUCUGUAAAUCACUGGGUGAGACGGUGGUGCCGGCCGGGACCAGCAGCUCGCGUAGGGAAAGGGAGCGUCCAGCUUGGAGGUUUUCCUGGGGUCCUUCUCUCCCGUUCUGUCCUUUUGACGAAAGACCAGAAGUCCAAAAUCAAGGUGUCAGCAGGGCCACACUCUGGAGAAUGGAGGAAGAAUCUCCAGCCUCUUCCAGCUUCUGGUGGUCACAGGCAUUGUUAGCUUGAAACAGCAUCACCAAAUACCCUGAUACAGAACUAAGAAGGAAGAGCACAAGACCUACAGACCAAAAAAUUGUAAAACAUGAUUGAGAGAAAUUACAGAAAAAAUAAAUACAUGGAGGGAUAUACUAAGUUCAAGAAUUGAAAGACUCAAUAUUGUAAAAAUGUUGUUUCUCCCCAGGAUAAUCUAGAUUCCAUACAAAUGGAUUUUAAGAUCCCAGGCAAGAUCAUUUCACAGAAAUGGACAAGCUAGGUUUCCAUUUCCAGUAUGUAAACUACUGAACUGACCUCCCAUCGCACUAUGAACUCUGGACAAAAUACAAAAUAGCACUUAACCUGGAAUCCCUGUCAUGAGCACAGGCAGAUGCUGGAGAGGAGUUAACACUCAGAAGAGAAUGGCAGGGUGAGCUGCCUGUUUUCACAGCUUCUAGUCUAACUGCAGAUUGUUGUUGUUCAGUCA